rnacentral:lncRNA from 1 species
CUGCUGCCGCCGCGGUGGUGGCCGGUACUGGUGGCGCUGCGCUCUGCUCUGGCGGCUCACCCAACGACCGUACAAACACAAUAAUAUAACCACACACAGCCUUACAAAAACGUAACGGGUUCGCGGCAAGUACUCCGUACACGUUCGGCCCGCAACCGUUUCGUCCCGUCCGUGAGCACUGCGCGCGAUCAGUCCGUCGUGGCGUCGUCCUCGUCGUCGUCGUCGUUGUUGUUGCCGUCUUCCUUCCCUCGCGUGUCGUUUUCUUUUUCACUCUUCUUUUCAUUUUCUUUUCGAAUCGACAGGGCACCACAAAAUAUUUUAUUAUUAUAGUUAAUAGUGUCGUAAGUCCGUCGAUUAUAAACUUUCUCGAUCAUUCGUGUCGUUUUAACUCGUUUUCAAUGAUAGCAAUGUCUUUUCGCGCCGCUCGUCGAUAUUUUGGAUUUGGCCGACCGUCCGGCUCUGCAAGGGGUCCUAGUGUACCCGAAUACCGCUCGUGAUGCUCAAAAUUAUCAUCUCCGACUACGGUAGUUAAAUCUUAGAGAUAUGGAUGCUGAUCCUCUGUGUGGUUUGUCUGAUUGUUCAUCUACGUCGGUUCGGUCGUCGUGGAGCAGUUCGGCAGCAGAAAACAGCGAGGACGAAUGGCGGCAUCACGUGAAUGAGUUGCGGUGGUACAUCGAUCCGCCAUUAAUGCAGAAUGGCGAUACUGUCAAACACGUCAGUAAAUACGAGAACCGUUGUGCCGCAGCCGCCUCCACCGAAAUGUCGACGACGGACUGCGUGGCCUCACGGCGGUGUUGGCGGUGGUGAUGAUUGUUAGUGCGAUGUCGAGCGCAAACGUUACGGACGACCGCGACGAUAGCGAAAGCUGCAGCGGCACAGUAGCCGUGUCCACAGUCGCUGCAGCAGCCGAACACGAUGCGUCGUCCCCAGAAGACCAGCUGCUGUUUCUUAAGGUAAGAGGAGACGUCGUGGCGGACGCGUCGUUGUUGACUUUUGUGGUUUUCUCCCCGGCUGCGUGACACCACAUCCUCACAAACAUAUAUUGAUGCUGUUAUCGUACCCGACCGACCGUAAUCGAAAACCAGCCGCCUGCAAAGUGCUGGCAAACAAAAACCAUCAACCCGUCGGGUACACUUCUGGAAUAGGGACUAGGGUAGCGGUUGCGUCGUUCGAUUGAGAGUAUAUCAGCAGCUUUAAACAGCUUCCGGAGGACAAAUAAAGUACACGAACUAAACUUUUCAAUAGUGUGCGUUUGUAUAUAUUAUAGGUAUAUCGGGUGAUCCAUUUAAUGUAAGACGUUAUUAUCUCAAAAACAUAUCUUUAUUUUAAUUUUUAUAACAACAUAUAUUUGGAAUCCUUUAUUCCAGACCAAAUAUUGUUUUAAGUACAAAUACAUUUUAGACUAGUAGUUUGUGUUAUAAGUAUUAAUAGUUUUGAUGAUCGGAGUGAAGUAGGUUGCUACCUACCUAUAGGUACCCCACAAAAUAUUGAUCUGCAACUCCGCUUGUCUAAACUUUAAAUACUUAUAGCUAUACCUACUCAAAUACUUGACAGAAAUUUGAUUUGUGGAGAUCGAAAUACUCCAAAUAUUAUUUUGCUUAAAGGUCCCAACACACUGCAGCGGUGGUGGUGAAUUGCUGCGUGACACAUUUCACCGCUCGCCGCGGCGGUAAAACCAACACAAUAGAAUUUAACGCCACCGCCACCGCUGCAGUGUGUGGGGACCUUUAAUAUGAAAUUAAAAAUGUAUAUUGUCAUUCAAAGAAGUAUAAAACUAAAAAAAAUGAUUAAAAAUAAUACAAUUUAUAAUUCUUUUCCAAAAAUGUAUUUUUGUAACGACUUAAAUGUAAAAUAAAUAUAAAAUAAAUAUUUAAAAACACGUUAGUGUUUCCUGAAAUAAUGAGUGACUUACGUGAGAUGGAACUCGGGGAGAGACACUACUAGAACUGCUGAUUUUCAAAAGUUUUAUCAUAAAAUAAAAACAAUGCAAUUUAUUAGAAUGAAGUAGGUAAACCUACCUACUACACAUAACAUGCUGCUUAUAUUUAAAAAAAGUUCGUCUUACGAACAUCUUUCUCGUUUGUCUUCUACUACCUACACUGUUUAUCACUUAGUUAGCAAUUUCUUUCCGAAUUUGGUUUUUGGUUAUCGUUAAAGCACUCCAAUGUUCCGUGUUUACUAAGUUCAGUGUUUUUAAACCAUUAUCAAGAUAACUUUUUAAAAUCGGCCGUUUCACUGCCUUACUUUUUAUAUAAUAUAUUUCGUUCGACCUUCGCAUGAUGUUGCACUUCAGAUUUCGCAAAUGUCAUCGACUAUAAUAUAUAGGUAAUAUUAUAUAUCACCUAAUAUUAUAAUAUAUAGGCAUUAGGCAUACAUGUCAAUUUUGAACACAACUCGACGGAAUAUUAAAUUAUAUUUACUCAUAAGCCAUGUAUCGCGUAUUGCCGUCUGUCGGCGUCGCGUCUCUGCUUAAAGGUGUGCGAGUUUGUGAAACUUUUCGAACGAUAAAGUUUGCAAAAGUUUUCAACUGGAGGAGCAAAAAAAAAUAAAUAAAUAAAUAAAACGAAGAAUCGACCUCUCCCCCCACGCGUGGGGGUUGGUGAUGGAUACUUCAAAACCAAACUACGACCAUAUUAUGAGUAUUAUUAUAGGUAAUCCAGUAUUUUGUCGUAAACUUUCUAUGGUAGAUACGAUGCUGUAUUUUUAAUCAUCAAAUCUUGUGACAUCGUUUUAUUUUUAAUCCCGCCAUGAUACCGAUAAACUUCGUGUAAUUCUUUUUUUGUUUUUAUUUUUUUUUUUACAGCGAUAAUCUAAAAUUACAGCUCAAAGUUUGGGCAUAAAAGAUAAUAAACAUGCAAAUCUUAAAUAAUAACUGCCGUCAUAAAAAUUCGCAAAUUUUAAAGAAUGAUCAAAUUAACAAUUUAUAUAACCUGUACCCGGUAAUUCUUUUAUAAUUGAACGCUCAUUAUUUCAAAAAGUGUAAAUUUUUUUGAAAAUAUUUUUUUACAUAGUUUCAAGUCGAUUA